GACGAACGCUGGCGGCGUGCCUAAUACAUGCAAAUCGAGCGAGACUCUUCGGAGUCUAGCGGCGGACGGGUGAGUAACACGUGGGCGACCUGCCUGUAAGACUGGGAUAACACCGGGAAACCGGUGCUAAUACCGGACAAUCCUUUCCCUCUCAUGAGGGAUAGCUGAAAGUCGGUUUCGGCUCACACUUACAGAUGGGCCCGCGGCGCAUUAGCUAGUUGGUGAGGAAACGGCGCACCAAGGCGACGAUGCGUAGCCGACCUGAGAGGCUGAUCGGCGACACUGGGACUGAGACACGGCCCAGACUCCUACGGGAGGCAGCAGUAGGGAAUCUUCCACAAUGGACGAAAGUCUGAUGGAGCAACGCCGCGUGAGCGAUGAAGGCCUUCGGGUCGUAAAGCUCUGUUGUUAGGGAAGAACAAGUACCGGAGUAACUGCCGGUACCUUGACGGUACCUAACCAGAAAGCCACGGCUAACUACGUGCCAGCCGCCGCUGUAAUAC
rnacentral:rRNA from 1 species